GCUGGCGCGGAGACGCUGCAUGUGCACGACCUUUUCGGUGCUCAAAAUCCAAUAUAUAUAACACCCCUGUGCACUACAAGAAGUCGAAAGUUAGUAGUCCCUGUAAUCGAACGGGGUUUCGAAUAGAGACUCCAUUAGAGAUAAGGAGGCGAAAUCUUUUGGCUCUGAUAUUACAAACACCCUUUUUAAUUGUAAUGCGAAUGUAAUGCUCCAAGUCGAGCGAUUAAUUGAAAUACAACUUUCAACAACGGAUCUCUUGGCUCUCGCAUCGAUGAAGAACGCAGCGAAAUGCGAUAAGUAAUGUGAAUUGCAGAAUUCAGUGAAUCAUCGAAUCUUUGAACGCACCUUGCGCCCCUUGGUAUUCCGAGGGGCAUGCCUGUUUGAGUGUCAUGUUAAUCUCAAAUCACUUGUUCCUUUUUCUAAUCCAAAAAGGACUUGUGGUUUGGAUGUGGAGGCUUUUGCUGGCCCGGGUUACAACAUUUGCGUGUUACCCCCCUCGGUUUGUCGGCUCCUCUUAAAUACAUUAGCUGGACUUUGGUUCGCGUUUUUACGGUGUAAUAAUAACGAUUUCACCAAAGCGCUUGCCUGACGGGUCUGCUUCUAAUCGUCCUUAAGUUGGACAAGGAUCGUUUGUAAUCCUUUUCAUUUUGACACCUUUGACCUCAAAUCAGGUAGGACUACCCGCUGAACUUAA
rnacentral:rRNA from 1 species